UCGGUAUCUGUCCAAGAAUAUACAUACAAAUCUUAUUUUAAUCUUAAUAAUAAAAUUUUAUUACCACACAUAUUAUAAAUAUUUAAUAUCACAAAUUUUAAGUCAUCUGGCAGUAUAAAUGUUAUAGUAUAGUACUUAAUUAUAAUUUUUCAAAGUCUCUCAUCUAUUUUUUAAUCUUAAAUAAACUAUAUGACCAUUGAAACAGAUAGUACUUCCUCCGUCCUAAUUUAUAACAUUAUUUCCCUCCUAAUCGCUCCAAGAAAACACUUUUUUAUAUUGGUACUCUCUACGUCCUAGUUUAUGUGGGUACUAAUUUAUAUGGCAUUGUUCUAAUUUUGAGAGACAAAUAAAUUAUUCUUUCACAUCAUUUCUUAUAUGUCUUUAAAUAUAUUGAAUGUUAAUUGUUGUUAUUUAUAAUAAAUUUUAACGUAAAUUUUAAAUAUGUAAAUUUUAUUUUAAUAAGUUAAAAGAUUGGGUGUUUAGAUUCACGAUAAAAUUAAAAUAUUUAACACUCAAAAAGUGCCAUAUAAAUUGCCACUAGGGGUAACAAUUUAACUUCAAAAUGAUCCAUCUAUAUAAUUCACUAUCUAUGACUAAUUCUAGAUUUUUUUCAAAAAAUAUUUAGUUCUUUCUCAAACUUCGUGGCCAGUCAAAUACAUAUAUUGUGACUGAAAAAGCACUACUGUAAUUAACAUUAUCUUCACCUGCCGGUUCCGGUGGCUUUGUUUCUUCAGUAUCUGCUGCGGCCGGAGCCGGUGCCGGUGCCUUUGUUUCUUCGGUAUCUGGUGCGGCUGCCGGAGGCUUUGCAGCGGCGGCAUCGGUGGUGGUGGAGGGGUUAGCAGAACCGUACUGGUGGAGAUAAGUUUCAGCUUUUUCAACAUACUGUCCAACACCUUGAGUUUCAUCUAAUUUACCAUAUUUCUGUGCAGCGU
rnacentral:lncRNA from 1 species